AGAUGUUUUCAUUAAUCAAGAACGAAAGUUAGAGGUUCGAAGUAUUUUAACCUGGAAGAAAUUCAUACUCUCUGGAGCCGCACAAAGUAGUAUACGGCUAAGAAGUCUAGGAUGCUUCUCCUAAUCAAAGUUAGAGGUUCGAAGGCUAUUAGAUACCGCCCUAGUUCUAACCAUAAACGAUGCCAGCUAAUAAUUGGGUGUAGCUACUUUUAUGGCUUUCUCAGUAGCUUCCCGGGAAACCAAAUCUUUUGGGCUCCGGGGGAAGUAUGGUUGCAAAGCUGAAACUU
rnacentral:ncRNA from 1 species